AGAGGAUAGCAGGCCAAGUCUUUGCAGCACAGACUGAAAAGGUAAGCAAAGAACAAUCCCCCUGCUUCUGCGUUGCUCUGACCUCUUUUGAAGACACAUACAUGAAAGGAUCACAUAGGAAGUGAAGAAUAAAGAAAGUAAAAUCCACUGAGCAGUAAAGGAUUAUUUAAACACCCCGUGGGGCUCUAGCGAGUUUAGUGAUAGCACUAGAUCAAAGCGCCUGUCACAAUUGGCACCAAACACACAAAGUCAGCAAAGCUAGGCCGGUCCCUUUUACUUAAAGGCAUUUUCUUUUGUUUCAUUCCUUGAUAGCCCCAUGUGUCAAAAAAUCAAUAAAUGUAUAUUCAUGAUGGAGGAGGGGGAGGGGGAGAUCAUGGGGAAGAAAGGGUCUUCAGCAGCAAGAGGUGUUUGUUGGAAAAGUUCCAGAUUUUGUUAAAAGAUGCUGAGCCUCCCAUGAGAUUUAGCUAAUUGCAGGUGGGGAUCUGACUGCAUUAUGCAGUAUUUUUUGAUGCAGAAUUGUUAGGUUUAAUAAUUUGGGACUGUUUUAUUCAUAUGUUUAUAAACUGUUACUUGUUGCAUUUUAUUUGAACUGCCUUGGGGAGUGUUUUGUCAAAGACAAUGUAGAAAAUUAUUAAAUAAAUAAAUGAAGCAUGCAAUCUCUCCAUCCUAUGUACCACAGAGGGCUGAGCAGAGAAUGGCAGAAAGCAGUGGGCAAUUUUGACAUAAACGGAAGGGUUGCCAUAUGUCCGGAAUUUCCUUAUUGUUAAAUAUUAUCAAAAUAAUAGCUCUUAUUGUCAAAAGAAUAGGUCUUAUUUAUGAUGCUGGCAGCACAAAAAAUAAUCGCAAGUCAAAAGGAAAACAGCCCAAAAUUUUACAUUGGACACAUAGUACCACUCACUCUGGUAUAUAGCUAUAAUGGAGAAAAUUACACAUAAUUUGAGAUUUCGACAACAACUAGAAACUCCAGACAGUUUCUAUAUGACCUGGCAUUCCUUUAUGACACAAACGGUGGAAGCAUCAUUUUCAAGACACCCCUCAUCACAAGCCUGGCAGAUCUGGAACUAGACUUGAUGAUCUGAUAACACUGUGAGACUUUACACGGACUUGUUUAUUUAAGCCUUGUUGUCAGGGACUGGACUGAAGAGGAGGAGGAGUGGUGGAGGUCGUGUCCCCCCACUUUUGUCUGUAGCUUCCAGGGAAGAGGAAGGCAGUCUCAAAUUGCAGCAGGGCUAGGAGGAAGAUGACAGCUCAGAGACGGGAAAACAGCAGAGUUAUGCGGUGUUAGGGGAAGGAGGAGGGGAGACAGCAGCCAGCUGACACAUCACUGGACAGCAUGACCGACCCUCCUUCUCCCAAAACGCACCGUUUGUUAAGGGUGCAAGAACAAAGGGCACAACGACAGUUGGCCACGGGCGGAUGCCGUAGAAGCAGGGGUAGUUGUUGUUAGAAGGGAAGGAGGGCAGCUCAGUGCGAGCAUCUCUGUCAUGGAGGAAUGAUUGGAUUCCUUUGUCUUUCACUGUGAUGAUGGAAUAAAUCAUAAGCAAGAACUUCCUUGUUUCCUCCCUGAUUCUUGGUGCCAUCAGGGGGAUGGAGAGGAUUCCUCGAGCCUGACACGUGCAACUGGAUUCAUUCUACAUGCCUAUUAUAUGGUUUUGCUGUUUGUUUUUAAAUUUUCAUCUGUUGUUAUAACUGUUUUCUUUGUUUUAUAUACAUUAUAAAAUGAAAUAAAAAGGAACUUUUCAAAAAAGAAGAUGACAGCUGUCAGUGGGCGUAUCAUGCCCCCAGCCAGAGCCCACCCCCAGCCCUGUGCUCUUUGCCCCUGGGCCCGCUAGGCUCAUGGGCAUCUUCAGCUCAUAGCAACUUCAUGAUUUCAGGAAUUAAAUGGUGUUUGCUUCCGUUGUCCUGAUGUGAAAUACAUUCACUUGGGAAUACGCACCAUUUUCUCAUUGAAAAGAAAAGUGUUUGUGUGUGUGUGUGCACCCACCCACCCACACAUGCACAACUCCCCAUUUAUGCAGGGGUUAUGUUCUGAGGCACCAUGCAUUUGAGUGAAAUUGUGUAUAUUUGGAACACCACUGAAAAAGCCUGCAAACGUUCUCUAAGCCUCUGGAAACCAUUGAAGAACCCUUUAAAAAACCAAAACUCCACCAAGCUCCUCCACAAUUGCUCCCCUCAAAGCUCCUUGCUCAAGCUGCAACUCCACAGGCCUCAAAGAUCAGUGCAAUGGCUUGUGGGAUUGUUAGAUGCUUUUUUCAUGCCAUUUUUGUCAUUUUCAUGCUCUUGUAGGGCCCUUUUGGUGUCACUUCCCGGUUUGCAGUGGCUGUGUGUGCCUCAAAAGUGUGUAAAUGGAGAGUUGCCUGUAUUUAAAGAAUACUGUAUAUAUUUAAAGUAAAAAAUAACAAGUGAGGGUGUGUAACCAUGCAGAUGUCUCACUGACCACCCCCAGGCUAUAAAAUGUUUUCCAAGUGAAAUAAAUAAAGGAAGGAAGGAAAGACAUUGUGGCCACCAUUGUGAGCCCACGUGGUCCCUAGCGUGACUAUGGAGGCCCAGGUGCCUGUUGGCCCCUCCUCCCCCCACUCGCCACUCUCUGGGCCCCCAUGGGGGGCUGCAUUGUGGCCCCUGGACUUCAGUAGCAUGGCUGGGUGUUGCAAGUAUGUCCAAAAACAUUUUAUUUACUUUCCUGGAAUACCAGGGGGUAUUCCAGACGAAGCCUGCUUUCCAGAUGGAAGGACGGUGUUCGCCCAGCAGUGUGCAUCCACACAAAGACCCUGAGAGGCUUUCAGUGUAAGAUUUGAUUUAUCACACUCAUUCCACUUCUGCCUAAAAGCCAGCAGUGAAAAUGAAAGCAAUUACAACAGCAGCACUGCCCCUGAUUACUAAACAGAAAGCAUUUUUCUUAAGUUAGACAAAAAGGGGAAUUGUCUCCAAAGUUUCACUUCCAGACCAAACACAAAGUGAUUUCCGUGGUUUACAUGCAUACAGAGAUAUAGAGUUUCUCUGAAAUUCUCCGGGCUUUACUACCCACCCCCAGGAAAUGCACUUCUAAGCAUGUACAAUCUAAAGGAUGUUUCCUCAGAAGCAAGUCCUCUUACUGUGUUCAAUGGGAUUUAUACCCUCGUAAAUUGCUUAGCAUAUCAUCCUUAAUCCCCCAACAUAACUUGUGGUAUUUCUGUCAGAGAUUUGUGUGGAGGAUCUCAAGCUGCUCCUCUUUGGCCCCUAUCAGCCCUGCUUCUUCAAUAUAGGGACAAUAACACAAUAUCAUCUUACAAGGCUGCUGUAAGGACUUCUGAGGUAAUGUAUGCAAAGCAAGUUGAACAAAACAGCACUUAUAUUAAAGCUCGGAAGGUAUUGUGUUUCAUCCUAUUGUCAUGAUUACUCAUGUCGCCCUCACCCAAUGUAUUACAAAAACAUCACUUUCGUUUAAGUGUAAAAAAUGUAGGUAUUUAAGGAAUAUGUACUUAUUUUAUUUAAAAAACAGUAAAUGUAUACUUUUAAUAAAAUGCAGCGACGGUAAAAACAUGCCUGGCCGUUCAGUAAACUGUGGGCAUCAGUACCUGAUCUUUAAUAGUCUAGGAACAUUUUAGUACAAUGUGAACAGUUUAGAUUCAGGUAGGUAGCCGUGUUGGUCUGAUGCAGUUGAAAUAUAUAUAUAUAAUAAAUUAGUAAUAAAUAACGUGCUACUGGAUAUUUUUUAUUUUUUUAAUAUAUAUUUCGUGAACAGUUUACUUCAAUUGCUAAAGAUAUCAGAUCUGGAUAUUAAGUAAUACUGGAUAUAUCAAAUAACAGAGCUGCUGUGCUAACACAACUGGGAGUCAGGAAUGUGACUGUUAUUUUUGUGUUCCAUAUGAUGCCCAGUACAGAAUUGCUCCCAAACAUUGUUGUGGGCUAUAGGUAUUGUUAUUCCAAGGUACAUGCUGCUUUGGCAUGGUUUGCCUUCUAACAAAGAACGUAAAUGGAGGCAAUCAAAUCCAGCUAGGGAUGUCACACCCAUUUACCCAUUUCAGAGCUGAGAUUUUGAGAGAUUUAAAAAGUGGCAGUUUGAAUGUGGCGAGAGAAAGAUAAAGUCGGUUUGGGCAGGGUCCUUUUGGGGGCUGAUGCUGCUUUUGCAACACCCUGUGCAGUCGACUCACCUGUUGAAGAGAAGAUAGGAUUUUGAAAAGGCACCUGGCCUCCAGAACACUGGAGAUCUGUUUGCUGCCGGAGUCUCAACAGAAAGAGGGUCAAUGAUCAGGGUGUAGGGAUUGGAUCUGGUCAAAUAUUUCAAACCACAUACAACCCGACCAUUUGUGGAAGGGGAGAAUAGAAAUUAUUUUGAAGUUUGGGUGGGUGAGGCACAAGGAUGGCAGUGCCAAUUUCUUCUUCUUAUCUUACAUUGGCGUUAAGAGGUGGUACAGCAUGAUCUAGCUUUUAACUUUUUGUCUUCUCCAGCAUUCAGUCUCUUUGUAAGUUGCAGGAAUGUGGCAAGGCUGUAGUUUAUCAGUUUGGUUUUGUUUGCUGCAGUUACCCUGGAAACCAGAUGUUUUUGUGUACUCUUCAAGAAGCGCUGGCAAAGUACAGACAGCUAUGAGGGCCAUUUCAAACACAACUUUCAAAGCAAACCACCCAGAAUGAGGGAUCAGGCGAGCGUUUGGAGCUGGGGUGCUUCACUUUGCAAACCCUUCUGUGACUGCGAAUGGACAAAUUUGUGGUGGCUUCCAUUCUGUUUACACCCAGCCUGCAUAUCAUUACCUAAUAUUAGAACCUAAUAUUCAUAAUGGUUUCCCCAUACAUUUAGCUUAAUUGUGGGGUUGGCAGCCUAUUCUUUGAGAUGAUUUCAGAAAGCCACUGUGUAGGUAGUGAGAAAUAAAAUUCUAUAUGAAUCCACAGAGAGAGAGAGCUUGACACACAAAAGGUAAUUAAACAUAAUAAGAUAAGAGAUAAGAUUCACAAAGAAGCCAAAAGGCCAUUCUGACUUUAUUAUCUGCUUCCUGAUUUGUAUUGAGGCUAGAAAGGAUUGAGCUACCUUUCCAGCCUCUCAGUGAAAGUCCUCACUUCAAACCAUUGGCGAUCAGAAUUUCAAUUGUCUUCUGAGUAGAGUUCUUAAUAAAGGAAGGAGCAGCCUGUGUGAAACCAUGGUUAGUAAUAGCACACUUAAUUUACAGUACAGGAUGUAUUGCAGCUUUGCUUAAGAAUAAUCACAUGUCAUUGAUAAAUUAUUUCCAUGCCCUCUUAUUAAAGGAGGAAUCGCUUUCUUUCAAGAUGCACCCUUGGGACCCUCAAAUAAAAGCCAAGUAGGAGGAAAUAACUUUAAUUCAUAUCCCUCCUGCCAUGAGAUUUCACUCGUCUCACAAAAUUGUACUCUUUUAUUGUAUCCUGUCAAUAUGAGGUUCACCUGAUUGUCCAGAUAAAUGGAAGGCCUUGAAGAAGACAACUAACUGUUGGAUUAUAAUAUGCCGUUCUGUAUUCUACAUUCAACACUUUAUUGCAGGUGUAAGUGCAAGUCUACAACAUUUACAAUGCUGCUUCAUACUGUUUUUGCAUCUUCUCAAUUUAUGGAGGAAAAACGCCAUUCCAUUUUACCAUUUACUACAUGGUUUUUCCCUAGCAGAUAACCCAGCAAACAUCUGUUUGGCAUUCUGUCUCUACAUGACACAUUUGUUUGAAAUGAAAAUUCCACAGGGUUUCUUGUCACAGGGACCAAAUCUUUCCAUCUAUCCAUCUAUUUAAGUAAAACUGAUUUGCCCAUAUGAAGACACACUGGGAGCCCAAAAAGGAAACGGGGGUGGGGUGGGGAGUGUGUCUGUUAGAACCUUAACCCUGGCAGGAUUUUAUUUUUUUAGGGGGUCUUCAAUUGAACUCUAUGUCAUGAUCUCACUUCCAUACAUCACUACAGUCAUACCUCGGGUUGAAUGUGCUUCAGGUUGAGCACUUUCGGGUUGCGCUCCGUGGCAACCCGGAAGUAACGGAGCGUGUUACUUCCGGGUUUCACCGCUCGCGCAUGUGCAGACGCUCAAAAUGACGUCACGCACAUGCACGGAAGUGGCAAAAUGCGGCCUGCGCACACGCAGAUGCACCGUCACAUCUUAUGUUCCAUUCAGGAUGCGAACGGGGCUCCAGAACAGAUCUCGUUCACAUCCCGAGGUACCACUGUACUGGGAAAACCAUGGCUUUAACUAUACGGACCUUUGUUGGCAAGGUGAUGUCUCUGCUUUUUAAGAUGCUGUCUAGGUUUGUCAUUGCUUUUCUCCCAAGAAGCAGGUGUCUUUUAAUUUCGUGACUGCUGUCACCAUCUGCAGUGAUCAUGGAGCCCAAGAAAGUAAAAUCUCUCACUGCCUCCAUUUCUUCCCCUUCUAUUUGCCAGGAGGUGAUGGGCCCAGUGGCCAUGAUCUUCGUUUUUUUGAUGUUGAGCUUCAGACCAUAUUUUGCGCUCUCCACUUUCACCCUCAUUAAAAGGUUCUUUAAUUCCUCCUCACUUUCUGCCAUCAAGGUUGUGUCAUCUGCAUAUCUGAGGUUGUUGAUAUUUCUUCCGGCAAUCUUAAUUCCGGCUUGGGAUUCAUCCAGCCCAGCCUUUUGCGUGAUGAAUUCUGCAUAUAAGUUAAAUAAGCAGGGAGACAAUAUACAGCCUUGUCGUACUCCUUUCCCAAUUUUGAACCAAUCAGCUGUUCCAUAUCCAGUUCUAACUGUAGCUUCUUGUCCCACAUAGAGAUUUCUCAGGAGACAGAUGAGGUGAUCAGGCACUCCCAUUUAUUUAAGGACUUGCCAUAGUUUGCUGUGGUCGACACAGUCAAAGGCUUUUGCACAGUCAAUGAAGCAGAAGUAGAUGUCUUUAAGGAACUCUCUAGCUUUCGCCAUAAUCCAGCACAUGUUUGCAAUUUGGUCUCUGGUUCCUCUGCCCCUUCGAAAUCCAGCUUGCACUUCUGGGAGUUCUCGGUCCACAUACUGCUUGAGCCUACCUUAUCACUCUUUUGUUGACUAUGAGGGCCACUCCAUUUCUUUUGCGGGUUUCUUGUCCACAGUAGUAGAUAUGAUGGUCAUCCGAACUGAAUUUGCCCAUUUCCAUCCAUUUUAGUUCACUGAUGCCCAGGAUGUCAAUAUUUAUUCUUGCCAUCUCAUUUUUGACCACAUCCAACUUACCAAGGUUCAUGGUUCUUACAUUCCAGGUUCCUAUGCAAUAUUUUUCUUUACAGCAUUGGACUUUCCUUUCGCUUCCAGGCAUAUCUGCAACUGAGCGACCUUUUGGCUUUGGCCCAGCCGCUUCAUCAGCUCUGAAUCUACUUGCACUUGUCCUCUGCUCUUCCUCAGUAGCAUGUUGGAUGCCUUCCGACCUGAGGGGCUCAUCUUCCAGCAUCAUAACUUUUAUAUGCCUGUUGUCUUUGACUAUGGAGUUUUCUUGGCAGGGAUACUGAAGUGGUUUGCCGGUUCCUGCUCCAGGUGGAUCAUGUUUGGUCAAAACUCUCCACUCCACCUGUCCACCUUGGGUGGCCCUGCACGGCAUAGCUCAUAGCUUCUCUGAGUUGUUCCAGCCCCUUGGCCACGGCAAGGCAGUGAUCCAUGAAGGGGCAGUAUCUGGUAGUGCUACUCUAUUGGCACUGGCUAAGCAUCAGCUGGGGUUUUAUAGUCCAUUCCUGGCUGUGAAAAUGCUAGAAAGGGCUCAGAGAAGAGAGCAAAGGAGGUGAUGUGCAAGGCCUCAUUGAAAUCAGUGGGAAGUUAACAAUUGACAUCAGUAGAAUCAAGACCACAUUGUCCCAAAAGGGCUCAGGCUGUAAAAUCUAGCAGCAGAAUAGAUUGCUGGAACUGGAACAUCCCCUGAUUUUUGUUUGCCUAAGAGGACUAGAAAGAAGUGACUCUGGGAAAUAUAUGGAUUCUGAGAAGGCAGGAAGGAAUAUAGAUCUGUACUUCCUUUUGGCAUCUGUCUGUCUCGAGAGACAAUAGUGUGCACCUCUGGGGGUCAAGGCAGUUACCGCAUGAGCAGUACCCAAGUGACCUCCCAGGGGCAAGGCUGGGCAGUGCGUAUGGAGGUCCUGGGCUGCCCAGACAACAAGACUUGGCCCCACUGAUGUGGUCCAAAGGAAAGCAGAGCAAGACAUUUGGCACCAGCCUUUUCUUCUCCUGAAGAUAUCCUUGCAAGGCAGCAUGGAGGUUUAGGAUCACUUUUCCUUCUGCUAGAUAGGCUCCCUCACUUCCCUCUAGAGCACGUGCAGAAACCAGAUCUACUCUAUGGUGUUUAUAAAAAGGGAACUCUGAAAAGGAAAUAGAUAAUUUAACAAGUUAAGGAAUUUUGAAAAAUCCACUAAGUACUUUUUUGUUUGUUUGUUAUAGAGGAAGAGAUUAUAAAACUGAAAGCUGAAAGACACAUAGUUAUGCAUGCCAUAGGGAUGCCUCCCAGAGCCAGAAUUACCAUGAGUCACACUGUGGUAAUGGAUCAGAAAAGGUGGUGGUGCAGUGCUAUUUUUCUAGAAAAAGAGGUGCCAGAACUCACCAUGAACUCACCCUUGUUCUCUCAGAAUGGCGAUGGUGCCCACCUGAGAGGUGCCGGAACUGAAUUCUGAUGCGUUCUGGCUGAAAAAAGGGGGAGUUGAAACGAAGGAGGGAAUAGGAGGCAUGGGAAUGGGGUUGAAGAUGAAAGCAGGGGCAGGAAUGGGUCUGCAGAAUAGGGGGGAAUGGUGGCUUCAUAAUUGGGCAGCAGGUGAAAAGGUCCUUCGGAGUUGCAAUGUGCAGGAGGAGGAAGAUGCAGAAGGUUAUCGUGGGGCUGGUUUGUGUGCAAGGAGGGAGGAAGGUGGCACAUAAGAAGGAGAAGGCAUCGGGGUGGGUGUGACGGGGGAAAUGGGCUGCGGAGUAGAAGAGAGAAGUGGGAAAGGGGAGCUCUAGAAGGGCUAAUGUGGGGGAAUGGUGGGGGUGGUGAGUGGAGGGAGCAGGGGCUCAGACCCUAGAAAAUGCAUAAAAUUAGAACUAGCAGAAAAAGUGGCAAGGAAUGUUAGAAAAACAGGAGUUUGGAUAAGGAGAAAGGCAGAGGAAAUUCAAGAAAGCUGAAAUUUGGAAUAGAAAGUUCAUUUUGAAUAAGAAAGCAAUAAGGAAACCAGAGAGAAAAGCAAAGAGGACAGGAUAAAUGUUUGGCAUAGUUAGAGAACCUUCUGUCAACCUCCUUUCAGGAAUGUUUUAUAGAGGGAGCAAAUAAAACAUUUUAAAAUCAUGGUGGUUCAAAGCAAAUAGAGCUACGGAUUAGGAUUACAAGCUGCAGAGCUGGCACCACAAAUGGCGAAGUAACGACGACUAGUGACACAUCAUGAUACUAAUUGCUGCCUUUUUCUCAGAGCAGAGGGUCACUCCAGUCAGCAAUUAAAGUAAAUGAUCCAUAUUUGAGUGUACAGGAAGAGCUGUAAAAUCAUCUGUGUUUUUUACUUGGCUCUGUUUUAGCAUUCAAAUUUAAACAUAAAUGGAAGUAUAAACAUGCUGUCUUUGAGAGCUCCUCUUACCAGUAAGGCACUUAACAUGCAAAUCUGCGACAUAAAUUUAGCUUACAAAUGGUACAGCGUUAAGAUUACGGUAACAUCUCAUUCUGUAGCCAGAAGAGAUGUGAAAAAGAUAACAUGUUAGAUAAAUGACUAUAAUUCAAGGGAAGCCUGCCCAAAGCCACCACAGGCUUAGCAUGGAUGCUUCCACUUGGAUUGGGUUUAAGAUGAACGAAUUGCUAGAGAUGCAGAAACCUUCCUAAACUAUUAUUGUUAUUAUUAUUUUAUAUUUAUUAAUACCCCGUCUUUUCACCUGAUAGGAUUCAAGACAACUUAAGGACUGAAGACAGAUAAAAGCAAGAAUCACUAAAAACACACAGAGAAAAACUAUCAUUAAAUGUCUUGCUGAAACUCCCCAAAACUCCCGAAAGUCUCCAAAUUCCUUUUGUAUGAUGUCUUACAUAAAAUCUGGUAACAAUUAUGAAGUGUGUAGAACAUCUCCUGAUGAUGUUAUACCUCUGUACACUGGGAAGCACAAGUAGGGAGAUUUGCUGUUCACACGACUGCUGCUUGUGGGCUUCCCAUUGGCAUCUGGUUGGCCGCUGGGAGAACAGGGUGCUGCACUAAAUGGGCCUCUGAAACACUAAAUGGGCUUUUAAAAAAGAUUCAGAUGAUUUAAGCCAGGGGCGGAGCUACCUGCCCUGGCACCCGGAGCGGCAUGGGGGCGGGGCUAGCUGCCCUCGAGGCAAGCAUCCCUAGCUGCCUGCCACCUGUGCGGCAAGCAUCGGAAGGGGCACCGCUAGCCACUCGCAGCAGCAUCGUCCCUAGUGUAAUUUUGAAAAAGCAAAAUUACCACCACCCACAAAGUCAGCGUCCGGGGGCGCCACCUGCACAGCGAACAUGGGGGGGGGGUGGCACGGCAAUGUCACCCACCCUCAUGGCUGACACCCCGUGUCCACCGCACGCCCCGCACCUGCCUUCCUCUGCCAGUGAUUCAAGCUAUUUGGGCUAUAUUGUUUUAAAUAAGAUUCAGAUGAUUCACGCUAUUUGGGCUAUAUUUGAAAGUUCCACUUUCAACCCUCAGAGAAUCAUAUGCUCAUAUAAACACUGGAAGCAUCUUUUUGUCCUGAGAGGGACCACUGACCCAUCCAGGGCCAAUACUGUCUACUCCAACUGGGAGUAGCUUUUCGUGAUUUCAUGCAGAGAUCUUUGUGAUCCACUCACGGGAUUUGUCAGAUAUCAUGAGCCUUAGCAGAUUCCAAAGCAGAAAGGCACAGGGUCACCCUCUCUCAAAAGUUAAUUUUUUAUCAAUUGUGCUGAUGUUCAUCAGUGCAAUGCUGGUGUUGCGCUGAUGAAUUAGCCUUGGUCAGAAGGAUACUGAUUUCAAAUGUUUUCAUCCUAGAGGGGUUUUGUGUUUUGUUUUGCUUUUUCAAAAUUACAGGUUAAAUAAACAUUAUUCAAAGUGACCCUGCUCUGUUCAGUCUGUGAACUAAGAUCCUACAUAAGAUGACUUAGUUGAAUCUCUAAAUAGUCUAGCGAUGAAUAAUAAAUGAAUUCUAUAAUGACACUUCACGGCAAAUGACAUCGCUGCAAUUUAGAAUGAAAGAUUCAGGUUUCAUAUUCUAGUUGGGAAUUCAUUGGCAGCCAGUCGAGCAAACUUUCUACCAGAGGAGUUAUAAAUUAUUUCCAAAGCCAUAGGGUGGCUGAAAAUAUCUUGCUUCUACACAGGAAAAAAAAGUAGGGACAUUCCUAAGAAGUUCCAUCCUCAUUGUUUGCACAGACAUAAGAGCCAGUUGACACAUGUCAGCUGGCUAGCUCUACAUGAGUUUUCUUUUAAAAGAACUGGUACCAAUGGCUCAGCCACACUUCCUCCUGUCCAGCUGCUCUCCCUCUGGGGAAACCACUAUUUAGCGAUCUGUUGGAACAAGCAGCAAGAAGGUUUUCCAUGGAUUGCUACUUGUUCCAGUUUAAAGCUAAAGACCAGGUUUUCCCUGGGAAAGGAGCAGAGCAAGGGGGAAACUGCUUAAACCUGUGCCCCAGAAGCACAGGUCAAGUGAAAAGCCAAUCAGUCCUGUGCUUUCUAGGCAUGGGACAAGCGGGUGUGUGAAUGAACCCUGAGAGAUUAGUGCAGUUGCUGAAUUCUUCUCUGGAAUUAAUUCAGCAGGUUUCCCGUCAAACUUUCUGCUACUCUUCCAGAUUCCAGGAUCCAUCUGAGGCUCAAUUCUGGAGGAUAUAGGAAUCCAGCAGUUUCGGUGUCAUGCUAUGGCAGUAUCAUGUAUUUAUGGGCUCUAUGAUACAGGAAAGCAGAACUAAAAGCCUUCAAAUAUGAGCUGGCCUUAUUUAUUUGUUUGUUUCAUUAAAAUUUAUAUAGCACCUGGUAUAUAAAAUUUAUAUACCAAAGCAAUUUACAAAUUUGCUUUAUAUUUGCUUCAUUUAACAGUGGCUUCUGGAAAACAGGGACCAAUAGGACCACAGCAGACGGAUGAAAGAGCCAAUGAACUUAAGAAAGAAGGCAAGAGAGCAAGACUGAUGUGUGAUUCCCGAUAUGCACCUUUCAGUCACAAACAGUGACUAUGGGAGAGCUUGUUCUAUUAUUGUCUGAAACUGGUGGCAUGAGGAAGAGUUGUGGCUGCUGCUCACCCAAGAAUCCCCCAGAGAGGACACAGAAGAAGAAGACUUAGACGCCCGAUUGUGGUGGUGGAACACUGGGGAGCAGUGUCAUGGGCCAGGAGUCAGCUUCACCUGCUGAGCAGCAGCCUGAAGGAGCCAAAGGCAGAGUGACUCCACCUGCUGCUGAUCAGCCUUCUUGCUCCUGAUGGGAGCCAGCUGGCUCCAGCUUUCUUAAGCAGGGUUUCCAACCUCAGUCAGUUGCUGCAAACAAUGUUCACCUGGCCAGACCUUGCUGCUUCUUGCUUCUCGUUACCUUGGACUCUUGGCUUUCUUGACCCCCGGAUAGUCCGACUACAUGAGCUGAGAUGCCCCUGCCCUUAGGACUGGACUGAACCUUGUAUAUGGACUCUGCCUCCAGGCAAGGACCCCCCUGAGACUUGGCUGCUUGGCUGGCCUCUCCCGCCACUGAGCCCUGCUGAGGCUGAGCAGCACAGGACUACAGCAAGCAGACUGGGUAAGGGAUGAACUGGGAGGUGUUGGAAGGAGGAGGUUUGAGUGAUCAAGGGGGGUCAGAAGAAGGAGAGCCUUCCAGGACAGG